CUCUCUCUCUCUCACUUUCUCCUUUUCUCCCUUCCUUCCUUCUUUUAUUUCUUUUUCACUUUCAGACUUCCACUGGUGCUCAGGAUACAUGGAGCAGCAUCAGGGGAGUAAGGAAAAGUCUGGAGCUCUCUGAUCAUUUCAGAGACCUCUCCUGGGGCUCACGGGUUAGGGCAAACCACAAGCCCAUGGCUGCUACACAGAAAUGUGGACCAGCCCUUCUACUGAUAUGGAGAAGCCAAGCCCAGAAGAUUCAUUUGACCAUUACUAAGCAAUAGAGGAAAAUGAGGAUAGUGCCUGACAGCACAUGAAGCUGACCCAAGCUGGCCCUGUGUCCCAGAAGGGUUAGAAGACAACUCAUAUAGCAGUUAAUAAAGGACAAGAAAGCUCUUUUGAUAUCUCCUUAUUUGGAAUCCCAAAGCAUAUGACUCUAACACUGCUCUCUACUAAAGGACAAAUAUUGGGCAAGGCACAACUUCUGGAGCUGCCCUGCAUGGCUGUGCAGAGGUCCCUGAAAGGUCACCUGCUGUGUGUCUUCCAGGGUCCCUGUAAGAGAGUAGACAGAGAAGCCA
rnacentral:lncRNA from 1 species